CCCUCCCACAUUGUGGGAGAUUUGUUCUUUCCCCUUUUGCAAUAAAUCUUGCUGCUGCUCACUUUUUAGGUCCACACUACCUUUAUGAGCUGUAACACUCAUGGUGAAGGUUUGCAGCUUCACUCCUGAAGCCAGCCAGACCAGGAACCCACCAUGAGAAACAAACAACUCUGGAGCCGCCAUAAGACUCACUGUGGCUUUAAGAGCUAUAAGACUCACUGUGAAGGUCUGCGGCUUCACCCCUGAAGUCAGCCAGACCACGAACCCACCGGGAGGAACAAACAACUCCGGACGCACCACCUUUAAGAGCUGUAACGCUCACUGCAAAGGUCUGCGGCUUCACUCAUGAAGUCGUGCAUAGACCACGAACCCAGUAGAAGGAAGAAACUCCUGACACAUCUGAACAUCUGAAGGAACAAACUCUGGACACACCGUCUUUAAGAAGUGUAACACUGCGAGGGUCCGCGGCUUCAUUCUUGAAGUCAGCGGCACCAGGAACCCAUUGGAGGGAACCAAUUCCGGACACACAGCCUCGUGGAAUGGUUCUGCACAGUGUGUGUGUGUUUCCCGUCAACCCUGUGCACACUAUUAAAAGAACACAAGCGCUAAGCCUCCCUCUCAGACCUACUGAUGCAAGACAUUGUGAUUUUGACCUUGUUGGAUGCUGCACCUAAAGGUGGAUGGAAGAGGAAGAGUCUUGGGGGCUACCAUCCUGGCUGGAGAAGCUGGCACGAGGCUCCCUCUUGUGGAUGCAGCAAGUCUGAGGGCCAAGGGAAGAGAAGAGUGACAUAGAAUCUCCUUUCCUUGAGAUCUUAGAAUCACGCCUGCCUCCUUACCUCCAUCCAGGACUGUUAAAAAUCUCCCAAGGCAGAGACUUUUAGGCCUACAUGUACUUAGCCUCCUCUUCCCACCUCCUGUUCAUCUCUGUUUCCAAUGUUCCACUGCCAUCACUGCCAGGAAGUUCUGCAGAGAAGAAUGAAGAAGAACCGUAUGAUCCUAAACAUGUUCUUUGAAGAUAUUAUCAACCCACCAUUGGCCUUAUUUACUGGAAUGUUUUUAUAACCUUUAUUUGACACCUCUUCCCAUCAUUUAAAAUAAAUCUGGUGCUUCCCUGAAUAAUCUCUUGAGAUUUGUACAUGUCUCCCAGCAUCAUAUUUGUCCUUUUAACAAGCACACUCCUUCCACUGCUCAUGGCCAACUCAGGUUCACUACAAUCAGGGAAUCUAUGUCUUGCAACAAUCAGGUCUAUAUCAAACUUGAAUUUAUUUUCUUUUGUUUCUGAGAACUGUAAUUCCACUCCAAGGCCUAUACUGUACCCAACAGAGCUGCAUAUAUGUUUAACGAAAACAUGUCUUAGAAUAUUCACAAUACUUCUACUACUUAUGCCCUCAAACUGCAAACUACCCAAAUACCGGAGAAUAGAAUGGAUGAAUGAAUUGUAGUAAUAUUUAUUGAAUGCAAUAUAAUAAUGAUAAUGAAUUAACUGGAACUAUAUCCAAGAAGGAUGAAUCUCACAGACAUUAUGUUGGCUGAAAUGAGCCAAUCACAGAAGUGUACAUACUCUAUAACUGCUACAGAAAGUUCAAAGAACAGGCAAAACCAAUGCACAAUGUUAGAAGCUGGGAUUGCAUUUAUCCUGGGGUAGGGGAUGGGGUAUUGGCUGGAAGUAGGGGUGAGGAGGCCCUCUGCUGUUUUUGUUGUAUUCUCUUUAUCUGGGUGCUGGUUUUGAGGGUGUGUUCACUUUGUGAAAAUCCACUGAGCUGUAAACUUAUGUACAUUUCUAUAUGUGUGUUUUUAUAAAACUUACAGAAAACAAAGAAGAAAUAUAUUGCCGUAUAUUGAUUGGACUCUAUUCUGGGCUAUCUUGGAAACUGCAGCUUGAAGACAGCUAGGCCUCAGCAUAUGCCCUGACCUCCUGCAAUCUAAGCUCUGGAUCCUGGUCAACUUUGGGAGAAUAAUCAAGCCAAUUUUCAGAGAAGCAGUUUCUAUGUCUUUCAGGUCCUUGUGUCCUAAGGGAUUAGGAGCAUUAGGGACCUGGUCUCAGUGUGAUCCUGAGAGCUCAUCCAUUCUCUGGUCAUCCUUCAAGGAAAUGCCAGGCUCCUGAAUUCAUCUGCACAAACAGAGCUGGCCAGGCUACCUGCUGCCCACCAUCCCAUUGUCUUUCCUGCAUUGUUCUGGGACUCUGGC
rnacentral:lncRNA from 1 species